rnacentral:misc_RNA from 1 species
GAAAUGCGAUAAGUAAUGUGAAUUGCAGAAUUCAGUGAAUCAUCGAAUCUUUGAACGCACCUUGCGCUCCUUGGUAUUCCUUGGAGCAUGCCUGUUUGAGUAUCAUGAAAUCUUCAAAGUAAAUCUUUUGUUAACUCAAUUGGUUUCUACUUUGGUAUUGGAGGUCUUUGCAGCUUCACACCUGCUCCUCUUUGUUCAUUAGCUGGAUCUCAGUGUUAUGCUUGGUUCCACUCGGCGUGAUAAGUUAUCUAUCGCUGAGGACACUGUAAAAGGUGGCCAAGGUAAAUGCAGAUGAACCGCUUCUAAUAGUCCAUUGACUUGGAAAAUACUUUUAUGAUCUGAUCUCAAAUCAGGUAGGAAUACCCGCUGAACUUAAGC